UGAUGCAUUUUUGGAUUUGGGAAAAUAGUGAAGCAAAUAAAUUCAUGCAAGAGCUACAUAGAAACAAUGAACAAGUGUGGUUAUUAGGUGAUUCUGGAUAUCCCCAAAGGCCUCGGUUGAUGUUACCACCUGUUACCGAUGCUGUUGAAGGGAGUCCCGAAGCAGUUUACACAACUGUUCAUGGAAAAGCACGGGUGGUCAUUGAAAAUACAUUUGGGCGACUUAAGAAUAGGUGGCGUUGCCUAAGUAAGGAUCGCACCCUCCAUUAUAAUCCUGAGAGGUGUGCUGCUAUAAUCAUGGCAUGUUGUGUUUUACACAACCUAGCAAUUGACUUUUCGGUGCCAGAUCCACAAGAAGUUGUUGAGCAAAGUACAAAUACAUCUGAGGUAGCUCUACAAGAAUGUGAUGGAGAUGAUUUACUUCGGG